GGGUUUUGAGAAAUUAGUCGUUCAUUUCUUCCAUCAGCCGUUUUCCUCCCUCUCUCUCUCAUAUCUCUCUUUCGCUCUCUCUCUCUCUCCUCAAUCUAAAACUUUAAAUUGCAGAUCUUUGUUAUUUGGAUCUAAAUUGAGAAUUUCUGUCAACUUAUUCGGACCAAUUGUUCGAAAAUUGACGUUUCGAGUAUGAUUUCUUUGGUAAUCUCUGAAAUCCGAUUCAAAUCCAUGACGCUGAAUCUUGAGUAAUUUACCUCCAUCAAAGCUCCAUUGUAGAAGCUUCUGAGCUUUAACUCGUUAUUGAAACAAAAUCAGAGGAAGAUAGACAAUUGCAUUAACUGCUUGGUUGUAGUGGUGGUGCUUUCAAGAUCAAUGAGGGGAGGCCACCUUAAGGUUUAUGUCAGAGUAGGUGACAAGAGAAGAUGAAGACAGAAAAAGAAAAUAGAAGGGGAGAAUAUAUAUGGUAUCAUGCUAGUGCUUCGUAUAUUGGGUAAUACAUACUCUGGUUCAUUUUGCUACAAUGAAUCUAAAGCUCGUAUAUAACCAAUGAUUUGAACAAGGGUGUUAUCUAAAGCUCGUAUGUAACCAAUGAUUUGAGUAAGGUUAGCAUCCAUGGGUCUUCCUGAUGCUUCUGCCAUCCGCUCUACUAUCGGGAAGGAAUUUCAAUUGCAAUUGCCAGCUUCUAUUGGAAAGUGAUCGAGCAAUGUGGCCCUCUGAAUUAGCCAACAAGAGGUCUCAAUACAACCAUUUUAAGGAUGAACUCUUGAUGUCUCCCGACACGUUGAGGGUUGAGCCUGAUGCUGAGAAUCCUGGCAAGUUUCUUGUUGCCUUCACUUUUGAUGCUACUGUUGCUGGAAGGUAGCACAAGAGAUUAACUCAGAGGCAAAACUUCAGAGUGACUUUGUAGAUCAGUUGAUUAUACUACAAGAAGUGCCCUAGCUACAGUUGAGAAUUCAGGGCAUUGGAACUAGUACUGGGGCUUCAUUCAGAUUACCAAAUGCCGAGUUAUUUCCAUUUGCAGGAGAUGGGAAUGACUCUGAGGUUAGUUGUGAACCACCUAGUAGGAGAUUCAGCUCUUGCUCUAGCAAAGUAACAAGCCAUUUUGGCUCAGACAGCAACAAGAAAGCUUCAAGAUGGAUGUUCAGCCCAUUUGCAGGAGACGGGAAUGACUCUGAGAUUGUUUACUUAUUCAUCAUAUAUAAAAUUGGGUUGUUUGUGCACCAUUGUUUACUAAAUUUUGUAAUCAAUAGCGUUUUGGACUUCUCAAUAGGAGAGUAUAUAAUUAGCAUACAAAAUUGGAUUUGGUUUAUAUGUUAUGUUUGAUAAUAUGUUUGUGGCAAGAAAAAUUGGAUUUAUUAUAAUUUAUUAUAAUAAUUUGGAUGGUAAAUGGAAAGAAGAAUAGGGGUAUUUGUAACUAGCACCUGAAAUGCUAGUUACAAAUGCCCCUAAUUUUUUGUCUUA